UCGGAAAUUUUGGGCAAUGGGCGAAAGCCUGACCCAGCAACGCCGCGUGAGGGAUGAAGUAUUUCGGUAUGUAAACCUCGAAAGAAUGGGAAGAAUAAAUGACGGUACCAUUUAUAAGCUCCGGCUAACUACGUGCCAGCAGCCGCGGUAAUACGUAGGGAGCAAGCGUUGUUCGGAUUUACUGGGCGUAAAGGGCACGUAGGCGGCGCGGUAAGUCACUUGUGAAAUCUCUGAGCUUAACUCAGAACGGCCAAGUGAUACUGCUGGGCUAGAGUGCGGAAGAGGCAACCGGAAUUCUGGGUGUAGCGGUGAAAUGCGUAGAUAUCAAGAGGAACACCUGAGGCGAAGGCGGGUUGCUGGGCCGACACUGACGCUGAUGCGCGAAAGCCAGG
rnacentral:rRNA from 1 species